rnacentral:rRNA from 1 species
UUGACCUCGGAUCAGGUAGGGAUACCCGCUGAACUUAAGCAUAUCAAUUAAUCGGAGGAA